rnacentral:ncRNA from 1 species
CAUCGUGAGGUGGAAUCUGAAGGAAGCUCGAUGAGCAAACCACUGCACUGAUGAACAAAAAUCGACUGUAAGGCCAAGGGGAGAGGAUAAGGUUGCUGUACAAACUGAAGUCCAAUACUACUCGAAACAAACCUUGGUAAAGUCGGCAGUGACAUGGUGGGAAAGUUAUC